rnacentral:lncRNA from 1 species
UUGUCUAUUGUUUUUUUGUUUUUUCUUAAACACCUGUAGAACUAAUAAUAGGAAUAAGAAACAGAAAAGCCAGUAAAACUUUCCAAAUUCCCAAAUAAUAAAUAAGAAAAUCAUGAUCUCACCCAAAAAAAAAAAAAACCUCAAAAAUUAAUGAUAUGAACGAAAAUUACCUCCAAUGUCAAUAGACAAAUGUGAAAUUUCUUCACAAGAUUGCUCACUCUUGUCUAAUUUCCCAUCAAUUCCCUUUCCCUCCAUAUCCAAUUCUUGUUAUCUUCUUGAAUUGAACAGUCAAUUAAGUGCCAAAAAAGAAUUUUGUAAGUGUCAAUACACGAUCAGCGAAGAAUAUAUAGAUGCCAUUUCUGUUUUUUGUCAAAAAAGGGCUGCUACUACUUCACUAGUCACUAGUCAAACAGGUCGUUAAGUCGCCCAAUUACAGAAUUAGAGAAAGGAAGGCGUGAAAAACAAAAUUCAUCUAAUUAUUU